rnacentral:rRNA from 1 species
UACAGAGGGUGCAAGCGUUAAUCGGAAUUACUGGGCGUAAAGCGUGCGUAGUCGGUUAUCUAAGUCGGGUGUGAAAUCCCCGGGCUCAACCUGGGAAUUGCAUUCGAUACUGGAUAGCUAGAGUUCGGCAGAGGGAAGCGGAAUUCCCGGUGUAGCGGUGAAAUGCGCAGAUAUCGGGAGGAACACCAAUGGCGAAGGCAGCUCGCUGGGACGGUACUGACGCUGAGACGCGAAAGCGUGGGGAGCAAACAGG